rnacentral:rRNA from 1 species
UGGUGGGGUGAAGACUUUUCAAGAAGCAAGUCCGCGUGAAGGAUGAAGGUCUAUGGAUUGUAAACUCCUUCUUGCAAGGGAAUAAAGUGGGGGACGUGUCCUCCUUUGCAUGUACCUUGCGAAUAAGGAUCGGCUAACUCCGUGCCAGCAGCCGCGGUAAUAUAA